GGGCCUCUGAAGUGUUCGUUAAGCCUGUACUAACUUCAUCCCUGGACUGUAGAAGACUCAGUGUGUAGAAGACAGGUCUGUUCCUACUUACAAAGGAAGGGCUUACAGUUUCUGUGAGCUCCAGGUAAGCAACAAAGAGACAAGAACAUCACACCUGGUAGGUGAGGUCCAUCUCCAUGGCAGCUGCACAGGUCUCAGAUUGAAGCCUCAGUGGUGGAAGUACAAGAAACUUCAAAGAAGAGCAAAGACAAGACUUCAUGUCAGAACCCCACAGUUCCAAGAAGCUUGAUAACGUCUGCACUGGCUUUUCCCUGACCUCACUCCUCUCCAUCUUCCAAAUUCCUCAAGGCCACAACUUCUCCCCUUUCCUUUACAGCUUUUGUUAUCUGCUGGAUGGCUAUUGAAUCCCCUUUCAGAUUCAGACCUCUUGUUGCCUGCCAUAAUAAAUAAGCCUUGUUCC